rnacentral:rRNA from 1 species
UACAGAGGGGGGCAAGCGUUGUUCGGAAUUACUGGGCGUAAAGGGCGCGUAGGCGGCCUGCUAAGUCGAACGUGAAAUCCCCGGGCUCAACCCGGGAACUGCGUCCGAUACUGGAAGGCUUGAAUCCGGGAGAGGGAUGCCGGAAUUCCAGGUGUAGCGGUGAAAUGCGUAGAUAUCUGGAGGAACACCGGUGGCGAAGGCGGCAUCCUGGACCGGCAUUGACGCUGAGGCGCGAAAGCCAGGGGAGCAAACGGG